AUGAAGCUAGAGGGGGCAACAAAUUAUUUGAGCUGGUCCAGAAGGGCUUUGUGGGCUGUGGAGCAGAAGGAGCUUGAUGGAUAUUUGUUGGGCACCGUUGUAGAACCAAGGGACACGAGUAGUGCAGAGGGCAAGAGGUGGAAGGUCAUCCACUCUGUACUUAUGGUGUGGUUGUUGAACUCCGUGGUGCCCUCCAUUGGACGCUCUGUGGAGGGGCUAUCCUCACCUGCUGAGAUAUGGAAGAUUCUGUCCACUCAAUACUCUGGCAAGGGCAAUGUCAUGCUCAUUGCUCAGAUUGAGGACAAGAUUAGGUUGCUGCGUCAAGAUGAUGGCAUGUCAGUGAUGACAUACGUGGCAGAACUGCAGGCUCUGUGGGCUGACCAGGAUAACUGUGAUCCCUUGGAACUCUAUGAUGCGGCUUCAAUCGAGACAGGGCAUAAGUGGAUGGCACGCAGGCGUGUGCUGAAAUUUUUGGCUGGCCUCAAAGGUUGCUUUGAUGGCAGGAAGGCUUCCCUGUUGCACCAACCUAGUCUGCCUACCAUUCCUGAGGCUAUUGCAGCGAUGACUCAAGAGGAGGUGCGCCUAUCCCUUGAGCAUGCAGACAUGAAGGUUGUGCCAGCUUCGACAUUUGCAGUCACUGAGCGCAUGGAGUGGGGAGAUCCCACCAAAUGUCACAUCUGUGGGGAGGUAGGUCACUGGAAGAGAGAAUGUCCAACUCGUGGCAGAGGCAGGGGAUAUAACAGAGGGGGAGCAGGCAGAGGUAGAAGUGCUAGAGGCAGAGGUGGAUACUCAGAGACCUCAUGGAGCCAGGCUUCUAGAGGUAGAGGUGGCUACUCAGGACACUCAGGGGGUCAGAGGGCUCACAUGGCCGUUGCAGGAGACACUGGGACGUCCAAAGGCAAAGAUGUAGAUGAUGUUGCCUAUGGAGACUUUGCUCACUGGGCCUCCACUGAUGAAGGUAAUCCGGAAAGAGCAUCUCUUGCUACUAAUGAGAGUGCUCCAGAGUGGGUUCUUGACUCUGGAGCAUCUAAGCAUGUUGCUAGUAACUCAUGUGUGUUCGAAUCUUACACUAAGCAUCCUCCCUCUCACACGGGCACUAUACAAACGGCUGAUGGCACAAAACAACCAGUCAUAGGGGUUGGUACAGAGCGACAGACGAGCCAGACGGUUGGGACUGGCACCAGGCUUAGGGGGCUCUGGUACAUGGACCAGGAGGUGCAGCCGGACUUGCUUGACCACCUACACCCUGUGCAUGAUGGUCAAGAGGGGGAGAAGGAUGUGUCUCAUACUCACGGUGAUCCUGUGGACAUUAACACUGAUAAUGAUGUGCAGGCUCAGGUUCAACCAAUAGUGGGUACAAUUCCGGUUAGUACCAUCACUGAUGAUGAUGUGCGGGCUCAUGUCGAGCCAACUGUCGAUACACUUAAGAUUGGUGCUCUCCAGGUUCCUGUUCGGGAUCGAUGGCAGACGAAUACCCUGGUGUACUCUCGGCGGCAACCACAAGUGCAGGGGGAGCAGCAAGGCAGGGAGGCAAGAGUGCAGGGGGAGCAGCAAGGCAGGGAGGCAAGAGUGCAGGGGGAGCAGCAAGGCAGUGAGGCAAGAGUGCAGGGGGAGCAGCAAGGCAGUGAGGCAAGCUCAUCUGACACAGUGGAGCUGCCCAUUGCGUUGCGAAAACCUACACGUGAAGCGGCAAGGAAGGGUGAGGUACUCCCCCUCUCAUCUCAACAACUUGGUUGCGCUCUGAAACAGAGCACCAAAGAAUGGCACUUCAUUCUCCUCCUCUGCAACAGACUCAUCAACAACAGAUCUUUCUUGCUCUCAGUUGACUUGAGCACCAAAGAAUGGCACUUCAUUCUCCUUCUCUGCAACAGACUCAUGCUGCACCUCAUCAACAACCAGAUGUUCCUUUUUCUCAUUGGGUUUUGGCUGUGCCCUGAAACAGUAACCAGGGAAUUAAGUGUCAGGAGAUGGAGCAAAACAGAAGCACGGCUUCCUCAACGAGCACCACUUCUUCAGUCUCUUCACUGGACUGAUGAAUCCCCCCAACUUCCACGGGCAAUGGCAUCAUUUGAGUCUCUUGAGUGGACUGAGGAUCCUUGGCUAACCCUGCAAUUUGAGAGAGGCAGACACAUAGAUAAUUUGGCUACAGAAAAUGUGGGAGAAGAAGCAUGGAUUUCAAGUUGCUCUCCACCUGGUCUCGCCUCGUGUCUUCCUGGGCCCACUCCUCAGCGAGCUUGUUCCGCCCCUCGUUCAGAGACCCCGGUUCCAAAGUCCAAACUGAGGUGCGUUGAGUCCAUACAAGAGGAGCAAGGGCAGGUUCCUUCCCUCACACGCGGGGUAGGAGGCGGAGGCGGACGCCCCUCCGCCGCGCAUCUAGGGCAUCCGCCUCCGCCGCCGCCGCCGCCGCCCGCACUCCUCCUCGCGCCGCCCGCUCCCCUCCCCUCCCCUCCCCUCCCCUCCCCCACCCUAAACUUUCCAUACGGAGACAGCGAUGGGCCUGGGCCUGGGCCUCCUGUCGCCGAAUCAAAUAGAGAGUUCCUUCUUCCCUCCCUCGCCUCUCCCUGCUUUCUUCUUCUCCUCCCCGCAGCGAGAGGCAGAGCCCCGAAGAGCCCCUCCAAUUCCUCCCCCUCCGCCUGCAAUUCCUUCCCCCGCCUCCACCUGCCUUCUCCUAUGGCUUCUAAGCUUGACCUGUCGCCGACGGACGGGGUGCCGGAGGACAGCCCCCUCCCCGCAUCAUCCGACGACCGGGUCGCUCUGCAGGAGAACAACGACGCGAUUGGGUCGACUUCCGGGCCUGGACGUUCGACGGCCGCACACCACGGCGCGCUUCUACCUCCUGCUCCUGCAGGCGGUGGUUUCAGCGGCGGCCAUCAGGCGGGGGCAGCGACGACGCGGCCUGGAGGCCUCACCACGAGGGCACCCGGGGACGACGCCCUGUCACUUGAAGGCACGGAGGCGCAUCAAAGUCAGGCGAGCACCGCGUGCACGUCCUAUCACCCGUCCCCGGCGAGUGAUGCCAUCCCCACCCUCAAUCCCCAACUGGAGAAGAAGAUGACCACGGUCGCCGCCGACUCAGACCGCGCGCCCGUCCCCCGUCGUCCCCGGCACUGGCGAUCGAGCCACGGAGGUGGCGCAGCGGCAAUGUCAGGCGAGCACCAAGUGUACCUCCUAUCACCCGUCCCCGGCAACUCAGCGCGCGCGCCCGUCGUCCCCACCACUGGCGAUCGAGCAUCAAGCAGCACGGCGAGGCAGGAUGCAGUUCCGACAGCUGAAGAUCACAAAAGGCCCAAGCGCAAACGAAGCUCAGAUAGAAAACCAUGGAUCCGUUGUCUGCCAGAUGACCUGGUCGAGAAGAUGCUAGUUCAUCACACGAUGCAGACUGACUUGAAUAACGUCAUGGCAUCAUCUUUCUUCUUUUUGAGAGUGGCACUCUUGCCCUGUCCCUGCCAUAAUCUUGGACGACAACCUCGACUUGUCGCUGCUUUGGUGCAGACAAAGAGAGGUUUGCUUAAAGUCGCAGCUCGAGACGGGCCACGCUUAAGAUGGCUGGAGCCCGCGGCCAACAUGCUGAACAAGUUCCUUCAUCUCGUGUACCACUCACGUGGAUGGGUAAGACCCGUCGACUGUCGAGAAGGGACAGUUGCAGUUAUCAGGGACAGACAAGGAAGGGUUGUUGAGCUCCUGAGACCCUUCCAGGGUCAGAAGAUUACUACACUACCUGAGGCUCCUUGCCACAAUGCGGAUGAACUGCUCACUGGUGGGCUGGUUCCAGGGGAGGCUGGCGCAUUCAAGUUCUUCCUUGUCUUCAGAGGCAUAGGACAGAUCGAACAGCUGUCUCUGAAGACAUUCAGUUCCGUUACAGGACUCUGGGAGGUUAAGCAGAUGGGCUCCCCAUUUAUCCUCUCCAGAACAUUGGCACACAGGGCAGUGUUUGCAUCAGGGAGGCAUUACAUCCUUGAUCACCAGAAUAUGAAGCUACUGGUUGUGGACAUCGAGAGCCAUAGGACAGAGGGGGGGGAGCUCUACUGGGUUGUGCUUAAUGGAUUCUUCAUAACCUUCUUUGCCUUGAGUGGUUCGGAGUGGGUCCCAAGAUGGAAGACAAUGAUACCGGACCAUGUCCCUAGCAACACUUGUCCAGUCCAGCUUGUUGGGGAUGCUGCGAGCAGUGGGGUCGUUCUUAUGAGGUGCUCCCGCAAGGUUUUCGCCAUCGACGUUGAGGACGGCGGUCUGGUGAAGUUCAAGGACUGUCUGGAUAAAAGCGACACUUUUUUCUCAUUCGAGGUGAUUCGUCACGUCAUUGCCGACCACGUGCGUCGGAUGUAA
rnacentral:rRNA from 1 species